CCUACGGGUGGCAGCAGUUAGGAAUAUUGGUCAAUGGGCGGGAGCCUGAACCAGCCAAGUCGCGUGAAGGAAGCAGGUACUUAGUAUUGUAAACUUCUUUUGUCGGGGAACAAAGGCGGAGACGCGUCUCCGGAUUAGUGUACCCGAAGAAAAAGCAUCUGCUAACUCCGUGCCAGCAGCCGCGGUAAUACGGAGGAUGCGAGCGUUAUCCGGAUUUAGUGGGUUUAAAGGGUUCGCAGUCUGGAGAUAACGUAAGCGGUAAAAUGUCUGGGCUCAACCCCGGACGGCAGUUGAUACUGGUUGUCUAGAGUUGGAGAGAGGUAUGCGGAAUUCGUGGUGUAGCGGUGAAAUGCAUAGAUAUCACGAAGAACUCCGAUUGCGAAGGCAGCAUACCGGCUCCAUACUGACGCUGAGGCACGAAAGCGUGGGGAUCGAACAGGAUUAGAUACCCCAGUAGUC
rnacentral:rRNA from 1 species